CUGCCGCCCCGCCCCCUGGACGCGCGACCCCGUCCACCCAGAGCGGUUGGGGGAGCCGGGCGCCGCCAGCAGGACGUUGCCCGCCUGCUGGCCUGGGAGGAGUCGGGGUGUCGGGCACCCACAGCUCACUUGAGCUCUGCGUGCGGUUAGCUGGUGAAGGAACGAAAGACAUAGUUCUUGUGAGCAUCUGUCCGGGGCCUGAGCUUGGGAGGCAAGUCUGUUGUAGAGAGCAUCCAGCAACUAUACCAACAAGGGCCUCCAUGUUUACCACUGAUGAUGGGCUCACCCACAGAGCUGAGGGAAGAGGCCUUGACAAUGGAUAGAAUUUAGGGGAUCCUGACCAUGGCUUCCAACCCAGCUAGUGGCAGUGUACCCAGAGGAGCUCCCUAGCUCUUGUUCUCUCUCAGGUCCUCUGGAUACCCUCCCCACUGCACCUUACCCUGGGAUACUGCCCCACACCUGGGCCGUCACAGCCCCCUCCCCACCAUGCACGCUGAGGAAAGGACCCCAAACUGGACAUCGGGCGCCCUGGGUGUGAGUCUCACUUCUGCCAACAACAACUACUGUGUAUUCUUGGGCAAGUCCCUUAACCUCUCUGGGUCUUGAUUCCCUCAGCUGUAAGAGGGAGAUAAUAAUCCUGUAAGGCCCUCAGUGUUACUUUGAGGAUCAAGAUAAUGAGUGUGAAAAUCUUUCAUUUACUCCAAAUGUGAUUAGCAUUUAUUAUUAUUUGUCCUGGAAACUCUUCCUUCCUCGGGGCCCUGCUAAGUGAACCAAAGUGUGAAUGGUUAAUAAUGAACUUUUAGUUUCUCCUUCCAGACAGUUAUUUGCACUUAUAACCAAGAUGUUCCAUGCCUGCAUUCAGAGGAAAGAGUAGGGAAUAAAUUCGAGGUUCACAGGCAUGCUGGCAAAGAGCAUCCUCCCAGCAGGAGGUCCUGCUUCCUUCACUGGAUACUCUGCUGGCAUCAUCAUCUCUCCUCAUGAAAGGAUGGACAUUGGUAUCUACGUCAGGGAAGUCUUUGUGCAGAAGGCUGAGGGGAGAAGAAUGUCCAAGGACAAACAUUUGCUGGUGAACCCAACUUCACAAAGGUCCUUCAUUGGUCACACUUGCUUGGUACCCAGCUGAUGCGUCCAUGAGACUGUUCUCAGCCGAACACACCACAGCAUUGGGAAAGGGAAAGAAUUCUUUCCCUGAAUUCCUGUGUUACGCUGGUGAAGGGAGAGAAGACUACCAAAAAUUUCCUAACGUUUGAAGGCCCCUGUCCUGGUGCAGGUAUUUGUCUGCAUUUGGAUAGGUCGGUGGCUGCUUUCUCUCUUGCUCAACACUUCCUCCUGCAUUCCGUCCACAUUCUUGUCUCCCAUCCAAAGGCCUCCACUCCUUCUCCAGCAAUUUCUGUUCUCUAGGCCCCCAUCUCCUCCUCCUCCCAUGAAUACGGACCCAGCUACAUCUGAGACUUUCCCCAUUGACUUUGGCAAAGCCCCCCAUUGCCUCUCCCAGAGUCUGGCUCAUAAAUUCAUUCUUCCAUCAGUCUAACUCAAUUCUAGAUGUCACCCUCCUGUUUCCCAACUCUCCUCAGGUUCCUCACUAUCUACCAAAUUAACUGCCAUCCUCUAAGACUGGCCUUGGAGGCUGUCCUCCCCCUAGUCCCCAGGGAAGCUGCUGGUACAGACCUGGGCUGGCCACACCGUUUCCCCGGGUUGGCACAGCCUGUUCAGGGUAUAGAGCCCCAGAAAGAGGCGUUUGACCCCAGAUAUUGGCCCAUUGUCCCUGCUGGCCUCCGUGCUCUCUCAGGCACCUGCUAGGCCCAGCCAGCCUUUUGGACCUCAUCUACUUUUCCCUUACUCCUGCCUGCCCUGCUCCCUGGCCCAGUGCCCUCCUCACGCCUCUCUUAAAAACCUCUCCAUAGCCUGUCUCUGUACAUUUGUUAUACCAUUCCUUCCACCCAAAGUUCUUUAAUUUACCCCUCACAGUGCCCCCUGCCCCAGCUCCCCAGCCCAUCUGAGUGGCACUUCCUCAACCAAGGGAGCAUGGAUGGAGCACGCUCAUAUGGUAGGGGAUCUGGGCCAGCUGUUUACCACGGGACCCAAGCUGCUGGCCGUGUCUUUAGAUUUUUCCUCUUGGGCUGCUCAGACUCCCCAGAGAGAAAUCUUCCAGGCUCUUGCCUGGAGAGUGGGGUCAGGCUGCGUGUGUGUUUAAGCCCCAAGUGGCAAGAAGGGCCGGGAGUCCUUAAGUUUAAAAAUCAAUGACAUCAGUCCUUGAUCCUUCUGUUUUCCAUGCUGUACCCCGCACUUAGAGGCCCCCAUCCCGAGACCCACUCUUACCCUCUCAGGGGAGGAAAACCGCAGACUUCUGCUGGGGCAAGACAGGAGCAGGCACCCAGCCGGAAGGAGUCGGAGCCUGCCUCAAGGGACAUAGAGACUGCUUCCCAAGGGCAAACACUGCUUGCAGUGUGUUCAAAGUAAUUUACAUAUAUAAGCAUAUAUUUACAUAUUCACAUAUUUAAGUUUACCCCUCAAACCACACUUCUCCCAGCUCUCUGCACUUAACCCCACGCGUCUGAGUCAGACUGUCUGACGCCCUGACCUCUGGUCCUAAGCUCCUGGGGCUCCCACUUUCUCCUUUUGAGGAGCCUGUGGUAUGAAAUGUUCAUCCUAGCUUUCUCCAAGUCAGGCUUGGAAUCGGGCUCAAAAGUCUGCCUGGUCCGUUAUUCCUCAUCUGUUUGCUUUCCUACUUCCAAAAUGUUAGUGCCGCUGUCUCCUCAUAAAAUCCUUUCCUGAGAAACAUCACUGCAUGUACAUUCAUGGGCUAACUGAUGUUGAUGCAUCUGGAGAGAGCUGUCCACCCACCUGACCUGUCACAGCCAACUCGUCACCCUGACUUCGAGACCCUCCCAGACUUUUCCCUAUGGGCCUCUUCAUUUGGCUGGUCCUGAUCUAUAACCCUUACAAUAAAACCAAAGUUGUAAGUCUAGCACCUUUCUGAGUUCUGUGCAUUAUGCCAGUAAACAUGCUCACGGGGGGAGUGGGAACCCCCAAAUCUAUAGCCGGUUGGUCAAAGCAUGGGUGGCCUGGGGACCCCUGAACUUGUGUCUGGCAUGUGAAGCCAGGGCAGUGUCGCUGGAGACCGUCCUUCACCCGUGUAGCAUGCACUAACUCAGGGCAGUUAGCUUCAGAACUGCAUUGCAGUCCUGCCCACACAGCCGGGUGCUGGGGACGAAGAGGUCACAGAGGGCCAAGUGACGCUUUCCGGACUUCACCUGCCCUUGCAUUCAGGGCCUUCUCCUCCACAGCCAACCUCAGACGUAAUGGACUAUGCGAGUUUCCCCAGGCCUGAUAGGUACAAAUGAGGUUGUGUUCAUGACCUUACUUCUCAGCUUCUUCCCUACAUCCAGCCCUGCAAAGGGCCCGUGCCCAUGGGAAUUUCUGGGGGUGCCUGGGUGGCUCAGGUUUGCUCAUGAACAAGUCUGGUCUGCUCUUUCUGAGGUCUGCUGGACACUGCUGCUUCCCCGGGGUGACACCAUUUUGGAUAUAUUCUGCUUGCCUGUUUGGAUGAGUUGUAUCAUCCAGGCUGUUUUGUCCUGGCUUCGGGUCAGGUUCAGCGCAUGGUAGGCACUGGAGGCAGGGGUUGGAGGAGCGUGAGGUCAGGGUAUUUAUUCCCUGCUCCCUCCCUGCAGGGAGUUGGCUGAUUCUCCUAAGAAAGUCUACAGCUGGCGCAGUUGGGGCGCCUGGGUGGCUCAGUGGGUUAAGCUGCUGCUUUUGCUGCCUUUGGCUCAGGUCAUGAUCUCAGGGUCCUGCGAUCAAGCCCCAUGUGGGGCUCCCUGCUCAGUGGUGAGUCUGCUUCUCCCUCUGUCCCUCCCCUUGCUUGUGUGCACACGCUCUCUGUCUCUCAAAUAAAUUCUUAAAAAAAAAAAAGAAAGGCUACAGCUCUUAUCGGGUGGCCCAUAUGCUAACCACUCCCUCACGAGUCCCCUGGUGGGCUGGAGGUAAAAGCUUCACCACCCGUUGUGGGUUUCCCUCUACACUGCCCACAGCGUUGUAAAUGGUCCUUCUCAACUCUCAUCAGAUGGCCCUGUUGAGAGGCCAUUUGCUUCCUGUUGAGACCCUGACCACACAGACAUCACUGCUGUUUCCGCUGGAUACACAUCCUCAGAACCACCCCCCUCCCCAGGGACAUCACCAAUGAUCCUACGGCAUCCUAUUAAAAAGCAGAGCUGUCCUCAUGCCAACGGUGCACAGCUGCCUCUGGCAGUGCGGGAGGGACCCCCUCUCCCUGUUCUGUGUCCCUCUGCAACAGGGCCUCAGAGAGGUACUACUCGGGCCCCAAUGGUUUCUAGCAUUUUGAGGGAAACAGCUCCUUCUGUUUGACGUGCAUGAGGCUGAGGGAGGAGUCCCAAGACGGGGAGGUGCUGAGCUGGAAGGAGCUAGGGCACCAUGCUCUCACAGACAAGUGCCGCAUUCGGGCUGGGGGCUGGAGCCAGGGGCUGGCCAAGCCACUAAAUGGCUGUGUGACCUUGGACAAGUCACUCUCACUUUCAGGUAGGUUUCCUCUCCCAUAACACAGGGGUUGGACUCGGUGAUUCUCAAACUGCUCUGGGUCCCCAGCUUCCCUUUGGCCAGAAUAGCUCUUGUUUGAUCUAUUCUUAGAAUCUGGGCUUUUGUGAAGAUUUCCUUUAAAGUAUGAUUCCAUUGCUUUAAAACUGUUGGAAAACAUCUGGACUAGAAGGUUCUAAGAUCCCUUCCAGUCUCAACAUUUUUGAACAUAAAAUCACCCUUGUCUUCCUCAGCAUUAUGCCAGGGAGGGUCUGGUUCCAAGAUUUAAUGGGAAACUAAUGAUUAAAGGCCCAUCUCCUGCCAGGCUCUCUGCCAUGGCAAAUCUACCAUGACUGGGUAAAUGGUUUUGCUCCCUCCCCAUCCAUCCUCAGCACCUUCUCACUUACUUCUCAUUUACUUCUGCCACUAUUCCCAGGUGAGGAAAAAGAAAGGGAAAUUUUAAAUCAGUUGCAUAAAAUGCAAACCAGCCCGGUGAACAAAAAUGUGAAAAAAGAUGGGAGCUUUAACAGGUUGACCUCGGGAGCCUUGCAAAGCCUUCGUCCAUGGCGAUGGAAGCUGGCAGCCCCUCAGUAAUCUGUCCCAGACAUUUGGUGCUAGAGAGGAUUAUAGAGCAGUGAUUCGUAGUUUGGGCUCUGGGGUCAAAAGGAUAUGGGUCAAAUUCUGGUGCCACCAUUAACUCAUUGAUUGAUAUUGACCUAGUUACUUAACCAUGCUGAACCUUUUCUCAUAAUCUGUAAAAUCAGAGUAAUAAUAAUAAUAUCUACCUUAUAGAGUUGUCAUGAAGAUUAAGUGUGAGAUAAUACAUGUGUGAUGUUUAGCACAGUGCCUGGUACAUAGAAAGUAUCCAAGAAAUCAGCUAUUUAUGGUUAUUGUCAUUACACUAUUUCUCUUGGCUUCCAGGAAGCGCAGAGGUCAGAUCUCAAUCAAGUGUUUAGCUGAGAACCCUCCUAAGCAUCAUUCUCUCCCCCUCCGCUCCAUGUCAUAGCUUCUUAACAUGGUUAUCACUUAUCGAAUUCUUAGUAUAUGGCAGAACUUAGAGACACUACCCAACACCUAGCACAGUGCUGGGAAUACUAUCGAUAACUCGAUAUAUGAUGGUAGAAUAAUCAAAUGAUCUUACUCAAUACUCCCAGCAACUCUGAGAAGUAGGUAUCAUUGUCUCAAUUAGAGGAGACAUGUUUUUGUCAUAAUUGUGCAGCAUGUGCAGCUGCUUCCUGAUUGUGGGGCAUCUGCUCUUGCAAGAGGGUCCCCCUCUGGAUGCUGGGAUGGUGGAAAACUCCCCUUGACCUCUGGCAGCAGAAGCAUGGACAUAUGAACUAAAGACAGCCAAUCAGAUCCUCCCCUGAGACUUUUAAAUCCAGACUGAACAAUGUAAUCAGAAUCCCUUCUGGUGGGGCUGACCGCUAGGGCACCCAGUGGCCUGUGGCUUCCGUGGCCCCAGGGCCAGCAGUGACAAUGGUGCGGCAGAGGGCCCAGGGCCCAGCUACCUGCAAUUCAUUUUGAAAGGGGGGAGAAGUAUUGUAAAUGACAUUAUAUGAUGUUAGUUUCGCAAGAAAGUUUCUACAUCUUGCCGGCCUUUCCAGUGUUCCCUUUCCUUCUGUAGAUUGUGUUUCCUUAUCAUUCAAUCCACUUCCCUCACUCCCAAGGGACUCCUCUCUCAGGACGCUUGCCCUCCAUCUCUUCGGCAGGUGUCCAGAUGGCUCUGAUUGCCUCUAAGAAGAUGAAGCAACACCUCUCCAGCUUUUCUACUCCUCCCCCCACCCCCCACUCCAUCCUCCUUCUGCCCACUUUAUGAUCAAACUACGCCAACUCAGGGCAGUUGGUGCUCUUCUCCUUUAGCAGAUGAAAACCCCAGGAGGAGUCUUUCUGUCACACACAGACGUGCUGGGGUUGAGAACUGCCUCAUACAUUUUUCUUAAGGAAAAAAGGCCUUUGAGCAAACCGACAUCGGUUGGCUUUUGUUGAUUUCUUUUUCAUUCCCUUCUUGAACUCCUCCUUUGCACCAGGCAUGUGGUAGACUCCAUGGGGGAUCCUGAGGAAAAAACACAUGUACGUAAAUAAGAAAAAGAAUAUUGGGCUUGGAAUUAGGAGACCUGGGACGGAACCCUGGUGUGGUCGCUCACUAUCUGCCAGAACUUGGAUAGGUUCCCUUACCUCUCUGAGCUUCGGUCUCCUUCUCUAUGAAAUGUGCCCAUCCACACACAUAUUCUAUGGGUUGCUGGGAAGCUUAAAGAAGAGGGCAUUUAAGCACUCAUCAAAAUCGCCGGUUCAAGGGAGACAUCCCAUAGAAAUGUGUUUCUGUCCAUUGAAAGCACCCCCCUGAUGACAGAGCCCUAAAGGAAGAUGCUCCAUGUCUCCAAUCACCCUAAGUUGGGAGGAGGGGGCAGGAGCUUUUGGGAGUCAGGGCACCUGGCAACGUGAGAAAAACCACUUGCAAUUGUGUUAAAUGUUGGUUUGCAUGAGUCAAAUAUCUUUUUAUGUUCUUGGCAAGAAAGCUGAUAAAACAGAGCAGGGAGGGACCCUGAACAGCCAGCCUCAUCAGCAGAUGAGGGAGGGUGAGUGGAGGGAGGAGGGCGCCAGGAGAGAAGGGGCUAGAAAGAAGAGCUGAAAACAGCCAUGACCCAUAACUGAAGGUUGUCUAAAUAGUCCUCGAGUCCAGUUUCCCCGUGGCCUUAAGGUGUGUGUGUGGAGGGGUGCAAACACACUGGAAAGAUGGUGUGGACCCCAUGGGUGCUGGUGUCAGGACCUAAGUCCCAGUCUUGUGUCAAACACUGAUGAGGUGAAUGAACUGGGAGGGCCACCUAAGCUCUCUGAGCCUUCGCUUCCUGUGUGGUGAUGAAGGGGAGAACACUAGUACUUGCCUCACGGUGGUAAAAACAGUUAACAGGUGGUUCCUUUUUUUUAACAGUUUAUUGAGAUAUAGUUCACAUACUAUAAAAUUCACAUCUACCUGGCUCCAUACUUUCCUUGGACCAGCACUACGAGGGUGUGUUCUUUUCAUGUCAAAUAGCAGGAGCUGAGGAAGCUGAGCAGAGACACAUGAUGCCCCUUGGGGCCUCUUGGGUCAUUCCUGCCCACACUCCACUGACCACAAAGCCAGUCACAUGGUUAUGUUGACCUCAGUGGCAAGAGGUAGGAUGCUCGUGCUAAUGGGAAGGGCUGCAAAGUCACAUGGCAAAGGGUGUGACUGUAAAAUUCUACUGCCGGAAGGAUCUGAAGCCUGGUGAACAAUGGCACGUCCUAUGACUGAGGACAAGAAAUGCCUAGACAUGCAGGAUGGGUGGGUUUUGGUCCCCCAGGGCUUCCCAGGAGCCCAUGCUUUUCUUUCUUUCUUUCUUUCUUUCUUUUUUUUAAAGAUUUUAUUUAUUUGACAGAGAGAGACACAGGGAGAGAGGGAACACAAGCAAGGGGAGUGGGAGAGGGAGAGGGAGAAGAAGGCUUCCCACCGAGCAGGGAGCCCAAUGCAGGGCUCGAUCCCAGGACCCUGGGAUCACAACCUGAGCCGAAGGCAGACGCUUAAUGACUGAGCCACCCAGGCGCCCUGAUGCUGCUUUUCUUACAACGACCAACUUCUGCUCUAGCUUCCUGCUCCUGAGGGCCCCACUUUCAGGUGGGGGACUGUGCUAGCUCAGCCUCUCACAUAAGCUUUCUAGACCACAGUUCCUAGUUCCUGGCUCACCAGCUACCCUGUAGCCACUUCCUUUGAGGUUCUGCCAAGAGAAUCAGGCCUUCCAAGAGGCUCAGGUCUCCUUCAUGUGCAACAGGCUGCGGUCAGACCCCUUUGCUCCCGUUCCCAGGGGUCCAGCUGACUUCAGACCCCUUUCUCCUGUUCAGUCUCCCAAAGACAACUUUCUCAUGCUGCUUUCCUGCACAAUAGGGCCUGAUGAUACAUCUGGCAGAGAGCAAAGACCCACAUAGCCAGGCCCUCAAUUCACAGAAAAGUCUGUUUAUCUUUCCUGGGGUAAGACAGAGGCUCCAACAGUGAAAAUUCAGAACUCAGAUUAGCUUUUCAAAGGGUGACCUUUCCAUAGUUGACAUUCUCAAUAAAUGUCCCUGCAAAAUUGCAAUUGAUUGAGCUUAAAGCAAAAUCCUGAAAGGUUUGGUCAACAUUUUGGUGUAAAGAACCUUCUGGGCACUCCAAUAUUGCCAGUCUGCUUAGUCUGCUUCCAUUAGUAAUGUGAAUAAGCAUUUUCUUGGGUACAGCCCAGAGUUAGCACCAAUUAUGAAAACUAUGCAGAAGCUGGUUGGAUGAGGAGCUGGUUAAAACGGCUUUCUUCACUAAGAGCUGUUGUCUCUCUGUCACCACCUUUUCUCCCCAUGGAGAUUGUUUCAUUGUGGUCUUUGCAGGCUGAUUUCUAAACAUCCCUCCUUUCAAGAAGGUGACAGAAAACAAGCCACAAGUGCCUUAUGAAGUUAAACAUUCACUUAUCUUAUAACCCAGGAAUUCUACUCCUGGGCAUUCUUACUCCAGCAAAUGAAACUUCUACCCACCCCUCCACAAAGAUUUGUACAUCAGUGUUCAUAGCAGCUUUAUUCUUUAAAAAAACAAAGAUUGAUUGAUUGAUUGAUUGAUUGAUUGAUUUGAGGUGGGGAGGGGCAGAGGGAGUGGGAGAGAGAAUCUCAAGCAGACUGCCCGACGCCAGGCUCAAUCCCAUGACUCUGAGAUCAUGACCUGAGCUGAAACCAAGUGUCAGAGGCUUAAUCGACUGAGCCACCCAGGUGCCCCAGCAGCUUUAUUCUUAAUAGACAAAAACGGGGAGAACUCAAAUGUCUAUCAACAGCUGAGUGGAUAAACAGACUGUGGAAUAUACAUACAACGGAAAACUCUUCUGCAAUAAAAAGGAAGGACAACCAAAAUAUGUGACAACACAGAUGAAUCUCACAGAUAUUAUGCCGUGUGAAGGAAACCAGACACGGAAGACUAUACUGCAUAAUUCCAGUAUUAUAACACUGUUUUAGUCAGUCCAGGCUGCUCUAGCAGAAUACUAUAGACUGGGUGACUUACAACAACAGAAAUUUAUUUCUCACAGUACUGGAGGCUGGGAAGCCCAAGAUUUAAGCGCCAGCAGAUUCCAUGUCUGGUGAGAGCCUGUAUCCUGAUUCAGAGACGGCCAUCUUCUUGCACCUUCAUAGCCCAGGCUCUCGGAAAGGCACAUACACACAGGACACAGGGGUGUGCAUCUCUCUAGGAUUCAUUUUAUAAGAGCACUAAUCCCACUCAUGAGGGUUUCACUUCCUGAAGUCCCCACCUCCUAAUACUCUGACAUCAGGGGUUAAAGUUUUAACAUGAAUUUUGAAGGACACAAACACUGAGUCCUCCCAGACACUCUGGAAAAGAGCAAACCAACCAAUGAUGAUAGAAGUCAGAACAGGUGGAAUGGAUUGGAACGGGGCAAUAAGGAACUUUCUAGGUGAUAGAAUGUUUUAUAUCUUCAUUGAUGUGGUAGUUCUAUUGUGUAUAUAUCUAGUUGUUAAAACUCAUCAAACUCCAUUGUUAGAUUUAAGCAUUUCAUUGUAUAUAAAUUAUACCUCAAUAAAAAAUACUUUUUAAAAA